UACGUAGGGCGCAAGCGUUAUCCGGAUUUAUUGGGCGUAAAGAGCUCGUAGGCGGCUUGUCGCGUCGUCCGUGAAAACCAGGGGCUCAACCCCUGGCUUGCGGUCGAUACGGGCAGGCUAGAGUCCGGAAGAGGAGAGUGGAAUUCCUGGUGUAGCGGUGAAAUGCGCAGAUAUCAGGAAGAACACCCGUGGCUAAGGCGGCUCUCUAGUACGGUACUGACGCUGAGACGCGAAAGCGUGGGGAGCGAACAGG
rnacentral:rRNA from 1 species